rnacentral:rRNA from 1 species
CGAGUGGCGAACGGGUGAGUAACGCGUGAGGAACCUGCCUCAAANAGGGGGACAACAGUUGGAAACGACUGCUAAUACCGCAUAAGCCCACGGGUCGGCAUCGACCAGAGGGAAAAGGAGCAAUCCGCUUUGAGAUGGCCUCGCGUCCGAUUAGCUAGUUGGUGAGGUAAUGGCCCACCAAGGCGACGAUCGGUAGCCGGACUGAGAGGUUGAACGGCCACAUUGGGACUGAGACACGGCCCAGACUCCUACGGGAGGCAGCAUG